AUGGCCUCCGCCGCCUCCCUCGCCGUCUCCCACCACCUCCUCCCCGCCGCGCCCGCCCGCUCGCAGCCCCGUCCGCCCGCCCGCCUCGUCCGCCUCCCCCGCACCCGCCUCCGGGUCGCCGCCAUCUCCUCGUCCCCCUCGCCCCCCUCGCGGCGCGACCGCGCCGCGGCCGGCCUCGAGCGGUGCCUGGCCGCGACUCCGGCGCCGGCCUUCGCCCCGCCGGAGAUGAAGGGCGGGAGGCAGCGCGGGUCGUUCGGGGCCGCCACGCUCCAGAAGGCCAAGCUCGACCUCUCCCAAAAGAGGCUCAAAGGCGUCCAGCCCGAGCUGGCAACUGGUGGUGGUGGUGGAGACAAUGGGAAACGAAUUGGCUAUGGUGGUGGUAAUAGUGGAGAUGAUGAUGGUGAUGAUGAUGAUUACUUUGAAGACUCUGACGAUGGAGAUGAAGAAAGUGGAUUUUUCAGAAGGCGUAUAAUUAUACAAGAGCUUUUUAAGAGGGAGUUUGUUGAUGCCGUUCUUCAAGAGUGGUACAAAACAAUGAGUAAUUUGCCAGCUGGUUUGCGUCAAGCUCAUGAGAUGGGUUUGGUCAGCUCUUCUCAGAUGGUCAAAUAUUUGUCAAUGUUUGGAAGGCCCACAAAGGCUAGAUAUUUCUCUCGAGCCUUUCCGGACUUCUUCUCAAGAGACCUUGUUGGAAGAAUGCUUGCAGAUCCAUCUUUCCUGCAUAAGAUGACCUUUGAGUUGCUAGCUACCGUUAGUACAUCUGUUUGUUGGGAGAUGAAAAAUCGCAAGGAGAGGUUCCAAGAAGAAUGGGAUUUGGUGUUUCUCAAUGUAGUUACUGCCACAGUUUGCAAUUUAGCUGUUUUCAGUUCACUUGCGCCAUGCCGCUCAUAUAUGAUCCAGAAACUUCCCAAUAACAUAUUUGAGAAGAGCUAUCCUUUCAUGAGACAGUUUGGUCUUCUAAGAAGAACCCAGUCCCUCUUCAGCAAGGCUGCUGAGCUUUGCCUAGGUGGGCUAAUUGUUGGCUCCAUUCAAGGUGGUCUAUCGAAUAUCCUUUCUGCUGGAAGAGAAAGACGGUUGUCGAUGACUGUUCCUUCUAUCAGCAACAAUGCUCUUAGUUAUGGAGCUUAUUAUGGGCUUUAUGCAAAUCUGCGGUAUCAAAUUUUAUGUGGUCUUGAUAGAUCAAUGGCAAACCAUUUUGAUGUCCUUGGUGUUACAAUCUUUUUCGGCACAGCGAUGAGGUUGCUGAAUAUUCAAAUUGGGGAGCUAUCGAGACGUGCCUGGCUUGGUGAGGGAGCAGAUCUGCUUAACUCGGAUAAUUUGUUGAGAACAUACAAUGGCCCAGCAGCAGAGCUUGGCAUCAAUCAACAGGCAGAGUGGUUCAUGUCCAAGAAUGCAAUUGUAUCUGGCUUAGAACUUCUAGGCAUCAAGUAUGGUGCACCUAAAGAUGCCUCUCCAAAGCUUCGGCGAAAAAGAAUUGUCCGAAAGAAGUAG
rnacentral:rRNA from 1 species